GACAGAGGGUGCAAACGUUGUUCGGAAUUACUGGGCGUAAAGGGCACGUAGGUGGUUCGCUAAGUUACGUGUGAAAUCCCCCGGCUCAACCGGGGAAUUGCGCGUGAUACUGGCGGACUCGAGGCGGGUAGGGGUGAGCGGAACUCCAGGUGGAGCGGUGAAAUGCGUAGAUAUCUGGAGGAACACCGGUGGCGAAGGCGGCAUCCUGGACCGGUAUUGACGCUGAGGCGCGAAAGCCAGGGGAGCAAACGGG
rnacentral:rRNA from 1 species